rnacentral:rRNA from 1 species
CCUANGGGGGGCAGCAGUCGAGAAUUUUUCUCAAUGGGGGAAACCCUGAAGGAGCGACGCCGCGUGGAGGAUGAAGGUCUUCGGAUUGUAAACUCCUGUCAUUAGGGAACAAAUCUUCCAAGUAACUACUGGAAGUCUGAUAGUACCUGAAGAGGAAGAGACGGCUAACUCUGUGCCAGCAGCCGCGGUAAUACAGAGGUCUCAACCGUUGUUCGGAUUCAUUGGGCGUAAAGGGUGCGUAGGCGGCGGAGUAAGUCAGGUGUGAAAUCUCGGGGCUCAACCCCGAAACUGCACUUGAUACUGCUUCGCUAGAGUAUUGGAGAGGAGAUUGGAAUUUACGGUGUAGCAGUGAAAUGCGUAGAUAUCGUAAGGAAGACCAGUGGCGAAGGCGAAUCUCUGGACAAUUACUGACGCUGAGGCACGAAGGCCAGGGGAGCAAACGGGAUUAGAUACCCGGNUANUC